rnacentral:autocatalytically_spliced_intron from 1 species
GAAAGCCGGAUGCGGUAAAACCGCCCGUCCGGUUUGAUGAGGGGCGGGAAGCAGGCGGUCAUUGGCUACCAUGCCUCUCAAUCCGUCGCUUCCCGCCUACUCUAC